rnacentral:lncRNA from 1 species
GCUGGUCUUGAAGAGACACACAUAUAUAGACAAUACACAUAGUACACACAAUCUACGCAGAGACACGCCUGAAAAUUGAAGGCCGCGCAGCUUUGCUAUUCUUCUGAACAAUAGAUACACAAUAUAGUGAUACAGUAGAGACGCAUAUACAGAAAAACAAUACAGAGGGAGGGACGCCUGGAAAUUUUGAAAGAAGGGUUGGCGGCUCGGCUUCUUCUGAAAAAAUACAAGAACAUCAACCAUUGGACCUUACUCCAUCUCCCUCACGGCGGAGAACAGACGCACACACACAAACAAAUUUGCAACUGCUUUUGAGUUUGCUUAGUGUAGAGUCACCAUUAAAGGUAGCCUGUUCUAAAUUCGACAGGGUUUCAGGCUCGAGGUCUCGAUUUCUCCUGUGGUUCCUGUUCGAUUUAGCCAUUGUUGAUAAGCAUGGAUUUUGCUGGAAUUUGAUCGAGGAUGACCUCAGUUCGAGCCUCUUUGCUGGGUCGAGCUCAUUUGUAUUUGUUCAGCUCCAUUUUCCAUUGUUGGAUGCUCGAUUUCGUCUGAAAUUUGAACUCGAAAGUUCGUAUCUACAGAUUCUCAAAACCUUAAAGAAUUUUAGCUCAACAGGUUCAACUAAGCUCUUUCUCUUCUCAUUGUUUUGUUUGUGAUGGAUUAUGGUGUUUGUGUUGGUUUGGUUGAUAUUCUUUAUUAAAUUGCUUUAAUUGGUUAUCCGGAUUUCGAAUCUCAUCAUUUAGGCUGGAUCAAUUCCGUUUGUGGAUAAUUCUUGUUUGCAUUUGAUGCUAUGUUAGAGUUGGAUUCUAUAAAUGAAUCAGUAGAGUUUAGGUCUAGAAUUAGCUGCACGCUCGAAAGAGAUAUGUGUUUGGAAGUGAUAAAUCAGAACUGAAGCAUUGAGGUUAUGGUUAACUGUUUGAGUGACCAACUCGCGUGUUGAAUGCUUAAUUUUCUUGAAAAUAAGUAUCGAGACUAUUAGUUAUCACUAAGGUGGAUGUUCUAAUCAAACUUUGAUCUAUUGUGAGUUCUUUAAAUCGGCUUGGUACACAUGUUGAGUUUUUAGGAUAAUUGAAUAUAACUAGGUUCCUCCUUGUUUAUUAACGGAAGAUGUUUGUGAGCUAGUUAAUGUACUAAUCUGUGCUUUCGAUUUCUCAUGAAUUUUACUGAAUUUCAUUGUUUGGCGUGUUUGACUGAAGCUCGUCCAGUUAUGAGAUUUUGACUCAUCUUCGGUGAUUUCUCGUGAAUUUUACUGAAUUUCAUUGUUUGGCGUGUUUAACUCCAGUUAUGAGAUUCCGAAUCAUUUCCAGCUUGUAUUUGAUGCUUUUGAACUGUUCUCUUUGCUUUCAAUUAGAGAUGUUGUUAUUUGUUUGAUCAUGUUGGUUUUAGCAGCAUUUUCUUUAGUUUGAAACUGGUUGGGAACUACUUGAAUAUUUGAGUGAAAAGCCAUGUAUUGAAGAGCUAAUUAUCUUUAGUUAGAGCCUGUUUGUUAUUCUUAUAUAUAAUGUGAUCAUGCCUAAUAUUGCUGCUGAUUAGGAAGGAUUUGAAGCAGCAGUUUGCUUUGUUCUUCUGUAUAUUAAAUCCUGAGGUACCCCAAAAGUUAAUGUUAUUUGAUUUUGCUAUUUAUCUUUAUUUCCACCGCUAUUUGAGGUUGCACCUCUUUUGUUACUUAAGUUAUGUUCUGUUACCCAUUCCAUGUCCUUGGCAUCUUAGAAUGACUAAUACCGUGGGUUAAUUUUCAUGCGUUUCAGACUUUCUUCUUCGUAGUUCUUAUAGGAAAUUCGAGUUGUGCCAUACAUAAACAAAAAUCUAUAUGCUAUGUCCCUCAAAAGUAGUUCGAACAUUCUUUAAAAUUAGAAGAGGUGUGCCAUUUAGUCAAUUUUCAUGGCCUCCCGCAAAAUUAAUAACACGUUAGUCGCUUUAGACGCGUUCUUAAAUAAUUCACUUUCCUAAAUACGGGUGCACAUUUAUGUGACCAAAAUCCAAAUCUCAACGAAGUUGGAAUGUGUCAAAAUUCACGGAUGCAUUUAUGUGACAUGGUUCGAGGCAUAUUUUAACGAUGUUGCAAUUUUCUUUAAAAAAUAAUGAUAAAAGCGGUUUAAUGUCAAAAGGCACAUAAGUUCUAAAAUCAGAUAGUUUAAGCCAAAUAUGACAGUUGAGUAACCUUGCUAGAACCACGGAACCCGAGAAUGCCUAACACCUUCUCCCGGGUUAACACAAUUCCUUACCCGGAUUUCUGUUUCGCGGACUGUAAAUAGAGUCAUUAUUUUCCUCGAUUCAGGAUUCUAACCGGUGACUUGGGACACCAUAAACCUCCCAAGUGGAAAAUCUGAAAUUCUCUUUAAUAAUUGAAUCCUGUUUCGAUUGUUCUCAAAUUGGAAAAACCCCCUUAUCUACGCCCUUCGUCGGGUAGUAGUGUAAAGAAUAGGUGUGACAAUUAGUGUCCUACAUUAGAGUAAGGGAUUGAGCUAAUUGUAUUGGGAAAAUUUAGUUUGCAUAUUGGAGAUGACGCGGUAUGACAUGCCGACUGGUCAAACACUCAAAGAAUUAAGGUUAGUUCUGAGGUACGAGCAACAAUAGAUACGAGCAAGGCAAAUAGAAGAGGCACGAAUAAUCGUACAUGCAAUUCAACGCUCGUACCUAUUCAAGAUAUUUAAAACCCAAAGAUCGUGAAGAAUCAAAGGAAUGAAUCUGGCAGGAAAUAAGAGUUCUGAUAUAGUAUAUAAUGAGUAUUAAAUACUAGAAACGUUAGAGAAUAUGUAUUUAAUCUAUAUGAUUGCAUAACGUAGAUUUUAAAGUCAUUAAUUACCCAUAAUAGCCUUAUUAUGACAAAGGUAAGGCUCAUAUCCCCGAAAUAGCUAUAAAAGAGGAAGGAGCAAAUAAUUGUAAGGACACAAAACACUAUUGGAAUAUACUUUGGUUUACUUGCUUUCUGAUCAUAUUAUUCGCAAAUUUCUUUCUUUAUAUAUUUUUCUGAUUAUUAGUGACUUAUUUUCUUCUUAAAUCUAGUUUUGACUAAAAAUCUAAUUUUUGGUUAAACAUUAAUGACUUGAUAUAUGGUCUUGGUCAAUUUGAUCUUGCCUCACACGCUUACUUUUGGAAGUGAAUUAAAAGGAGGGGUUCAAAAUUUUUUUGUAGCUAAUGAGAAGUAAAUCUAUGACCUUAUGAAGGUUUUGAACCCCCUUUAUCACUAAACUACACUUUUAAAUUGUGUUAAGGAAGUUCAAAACUUAAUAUAUAGGUAAAAAAAUGAUUUUGCCAUAUAUAUAAAAUGUAAUGUUUUUUGGCGAUUGGUCCUAAUCCUAUCUUUUUCAUCUAACCAAAUAAUUAUUUUUCCAAUGAUGAAUUUCGCACCAUGGAAUAAACCAAAGAAAUAAGGACGUUUUUAAUACCGAUAGCAGCUCCAGCUGAAGCAAUUAUAUAAGCUCUGGCUCCCAUUGAUUUUGGACCUUCUAAUAUCUCGAGUUUAGAAUUCUCCACACGCAUUUUCUAUCACAAUUUUCUCUUUGAGAACACUCGCCUCGUCGAUUCUUCCUCUCUUUUCUUUCGAUCUUGUACUUUAUGUAAGCUUCAAAAGCAUAGGCUAGACGAGCGAUUCAGUGAACAUCAAGAUGAUGUUCUUCCCUCCGCGGCAUGUCAAGACUGUUAGAAUAUCCUACAUUGGUUAAAAAAAAGUUGUUAUUUUCUUAUAUUAUCUCAAACAAUAUUCAUCUCAUGAGCUAGUUUUUAGUGUUAUCACAAAGUCCAUUUCCUUUACCAUUAGUGUAAAUAAAAUUAUUAAAAGACUAGUUGUCUGUGAAAUAGUUGAUAAGUUUGUAAAAAGGUUACCUCACAUAUGAAAUAAUAUAAAAGAAUAUAAUAAUAUAUUAUUUUAAAUUAUUCAAGAAAACUAUUAUUUGGGAAAUAUUUAAAACUUUUUACAUAACUAACAUUUUAUUGGUCACUAAUAAACUUUACAGUUUAUAGACUUUUUUAUACCUCAAUAGCUAUAUCUUUCAGACACCAAACAAACUCAACCUACAGACUAUAUCUAAUGGAACAUAAAGUACUGUAGUAAACUACAAAUUUCAUUUGUAGCUCUCCUAUUAUAUAUAUACGUAGGCUAUUUCUCGAGCUUUAUUAUCUACUCCUAUGCUUCUCUGUUCAAAUAACCUCAUAUUCCUUUCAAUCUAUAGACUAUGUGUGAUCUCAGCAUACAUCAUCCGCUACAGUUGUGCUCCAUAGGAUCUUCCUUUGGCACAUUGUAUCAUCCAUUGUUCAUGUUUCUCCCCAAUUGUGUCGAACCACAUCGUACCUCUGCAUCCAUUAUAAGACCUAUAGCCAGACUGUCUUGGCAAAGUAACAUUCUACAAACAAAUAUUUCUGGUUUUAUCAUGAUGCUCGCAUAGAGAGCAUUUUGACUCCACAGUGACCCCUCAUUUGAGCAACCUAUCAGCUGUUGAGAGUCUCUCAUCUAACUAUUGCCACAUUGUAAAUAUAACUUUUGGUCUAGCCUUGUUUUGAAAUAUCACACUUCCAAGUGAUUCUAGACCUAUUUCUCAAUAGCUGGAGGUAAAUCAUUUAAAGUUUAAGACUGAUUAAUGUAGAAUUAGGUCAUAGGAUAGUGAAACUUAUAUUAUAAUAAAACAUAUAAUUUAUCUAGCAUAGGAUAUUCUCUGUAUAAUAUUCUUUCGUUCAUAAAUAUUUUUUACUUAAACAUAAAAUUCACAAUUACUCUUUUCAUAAAGUACUCUCUACUCAAAUGCAAUUUUCAUUAUUUCAUCAAUUCUUUAACUAACAGCUAUUUAAACCAAAGAAUUUUAAUUUCCGUAUUUUUGAAUUCAUACCAAUUUAUUAGGUACUUGAUUAGAUCAUAGAACAACAACAACAACUACAACAACAACCCAAUAAAAUCUCAUUAGUUGAUCUAAGGAGGAUAGUGUGUACAUAGACCUUACCUCUACUUCGAGGGAGUAGUGACAUGAUCCGAAUUUCUCACCCUCGAGAGUCGUGAUGAUGCCUACUAGUGAAAGCUAGGCAACCAGCCAUGUGUAUUGUUUACCUUUCCCUCAUUUAAUCCUUUAACAAUUAAGAACCGACAUUAUAUAAACGGCAAAAUUUAAUAAGCAGAAGAAUAAAAUAUAACCAUUUAAACAUUACCAGUACAAAUGCUUAAAUAUAGACUACCCAGAAUUGGUAUCAUAAUUUCACAGACUGUCUAGGAAUACUACAAAUAAGGGUCAGAAAGAUAAAUACAAUGUUUUCUCUAAAAUACAUAAAACAUAUAGAAUGAAAGGAUAGAAGGAGACGCCAAGGCAUGCGGACAUGUACAGGACUACCUUUGGUCUCAGAAUGAAUUGAAGGCAGCAACCCAAAGCUAGGUCUGUAUGCUCCAGUACCAGGAUUUGUACUUCGAGGGAGUAAUGUCAUGAUCCGAAUUUCUCUCCCUCGGGAGUCGUGAUAACGCCUACUAGUGAAAGCUAAGCAAGCCAACCAUGUGUAUUAUUUGCCUUUCUCUCAUUUAAUCCAUUAACAAUUAAGAACCAACAUUAUAUAAAUGGCGAAAUUUAAUAAGCAGAAGAAUAAAAUAUGACCAUUUAAACAUUACCAAUACAAAUCCUUGGAUAUAGACUACCCAGAAUUGGUAUCAUAAUUUCAAAGACUGUCUAGAAAUACUACAAAUAAGGGUCAGAAAGAUAAAUACAAUGUUGUCUCUGAAAUACAUAAAAGAUAUAGAAUGAAAGGAUAGAAGGAGACGCCAAGACCUGCGGACGUCUACAGGACUAUCUUAGUUAUCCAAAUGGACUGAAGGCACCAACCCAAAGCUAAGGUAUGUAUGCUCCAGUACCAGGAUCUGUACAAAAAAGUGCAGAGUGUAGUAUCAGCACAACCGACCCCAUUUGCUGAUAAGUGCCAAGAUAACAUCGGCGAAGUAGUGACGAUGCUAGGACCAGACUACCAAAUAACCUAUGAAGUUAAAUUAUAUACAACGGAAAAUAAAGGCAAAACUUUACAAUUAAAGAUAUAAAAGGGGAAUCAUGCUGCGGGAAACAACAAAUAGCAAUAGAAACUAAUAGUUAAAUGUAAAGAACAUCAUAACUUUAUUAUCACUAGAAAUCAGGAAAUCAAAGACAAGUGCAUGGCAUCACCCUUCGUGAUUUUACUCUCAUCCUCACCAUAAAAUAAAUAUAAUAGGCACGACAUCAUCUUUCGUGCUUUUACACUCUGCCUUACACAAACAAUAAUCACAAAGCAAGAAGGGAAAGGGAAUAAAUAAACCCCAAUAAAAUUCCCCGCAAGUGAACAAUAGUACAACAAUAAUAUUCCAGCAAGGGAAACAAUAUCAAAAGCAAUAACAUCACGGCAAGGGAGAUAACACAAAAAGUAACAACAUCCCGGGCUACAAUAUCAUGAUCCUCUUCUCUUUUUUUUCCAUUUACUUCACAACUCAAUUCACAACUUAAGCCAAUGCUCUAUAAUGUUCAAUUGCAAAUAACACUUCCACAAAUUAUUUUUUCAACUUGAGCCAACGCUCUUCAAUUUUUAAUUACCAAUAUUACUUUCACAAACCAUGUUCAAUAAAAGAAAUCAUCACACAAGGCAUGAACAACACUAAACGGAGUCACAUUAAUCAUAGCAUAAGACUCAUGGGCAUGCUUGACACCAACAUAUAGAUACUUGUCGCCAUGCCUAUACGUCGUACUCAACAACUAGCACAUAGCAAAUAUGACACAACUCCUAAUCCCUUAAGCUAAUGUUAGACUAAAUACUUACCUCGAUGCCUCGAACAUUAUUCAAUCCUCAACUAUCGGUUUAUCUCUUGAUUCCACCACCAAUUCACUUGUAUCUAGCCACAAGUUACAUAACUAUAUUAAUCAAUGCUAAAUAAAUCAAUUAUAAUGCAUGAAAAAUAGAUUUUCUAAAGUUUUUUCCCAAAAAGUCAAUACUCGACCCAUGGCCCACAUGGUCAAAAUCAGAGGUUCGAACCAAAAUCUGACUACCCAUUCACCCACGAACUCAAAUAUAUAAUUUGUUUUGAAAUCCUCCAAAUCCCAAAAAUUCGAAAAUCCUAAAUUCUACCCAAAACAUCCAAUUUCUCCCCAUGAAAACCGUUGAUUUUGAGUUGAAAUCAUGUGAAAAGAUGGAUUUGAUUAAAAGAAAUGAGUUAGAAAUGACUUACAAAUGAUUUCGAAGAGUAGUUGUCUUUGAAAAAUCGCCCCAAGGUGUUUAGGUUUUUGGAAGGUUUGAAAAAUGGAUAAAAAUUCAUAUAAGUCCCAAUUAAUUGGUCUCUGAUAUAGCAAUUGCGACCGGGAUUUAUAAUUGCGAACCCCUCAGAAAUUGUUGACUUCGAAAAAUGCAAGGAUUUUGUUAUAUUUGCAACAUUGAAGGAAUCUGGUCCCCUUUACAUUUACUAUAAAUACGUCGAAUUUGCGAUUAAGGCAGCCCAUGCCAUCUUUAUAUUUUGUGAUCAAGCUUUGCAUUUGCGGGCUCACAUCUGCGAGCCAGGCUUCGGAAUUUCGAAGCUGACUGACCUGCAAUGCACCAGCAAUUUCCUAAGUUCAAAUUUCACUUCAUGGCCUAUCAAAAACUCACCCGAUCCCUCGGGGCUCCAAACCAAAUAUGCAUGUAAGUCCAAAAAUAUUAUAUGGACUUGCUCAUGCGAUCAAAUCAUCAAAAUAACAUCAAUAACUUUGAAUUUAGUAUCAACAUCAAAGAAAAAUCUAAUAAACUCUUUAAUUCAAAUUUUAAAAAGCGAUUGUCCGAUUCACGUCAUAUCAACAUCGUUUUUUUUAUCAAAUUUUACAGGCUCAACUUAAAUAUUAUAUAAGAUAUGUAUCGGGCUCCGGAACCAAAAUAUAGGCCUGAUACCAUAAUUACAUUCAAAUUUCCAAGACCUCUAGAAAGUUGAGUUAAACAAUUUUGUUUAAAAAUUUGUUUCUCGGGUUUGAGAUCUCGAAAUUCAAUUCCGGGCACAUGUUCAAGUCCAAUAUUUUCCUAUUGGACCUUCGGGACCGUCAAGUCACAGGUCUGGGUCCCUUUACCCAAAGUAUUAUCCGAAGUCAAUAUAAAUUCAUUUUAAAAGCAAAAUCAUCAUUUUUCACAGAUUUUCACAUAAUGGAUUUUCAGGUGCAUGCCCGAACUGUACACACAAAUCGAGGUGAGACAAAAAGAAGGAUUUAAUACCUCGGAAAAUAGAAUUUAUUUCUAAAAUAAUUGAUGACCUUUUGGAUUAUUACAAGUAGAGAGACUGUUUCCGAAAGAUCCUCGACAAAAGGAGAUUAGAACAUGUUUAUAGGAAAACAAAGCUUUUCAUUUAUGUGAUAAGAUAUUUCCAAUACGGUGUUUACGACACAAAAAACAUUGAAUCUAGUAUAAUUUUAUGCUUUCUGCGACUACAAUUUCCCUUUUUUUGGCACAAAUUUUUUUUUUUUAAAAAAAAUUGGCAUGAUAUUGAACAAGGAAAUCAAUUCCAUUAAUUAUAAUUUCAUUUUCUUUACGCAACCUAAAGAGAAAUAUCUUCUUAAUCCAGUGUAGUUUCUCGAUCACUUAAACUUUCUCAUGUUUUGUUUACAAAGGAUAGUGAAUGAGGAAUGGAAUUUGCAUAUUUUCCAUUUUUGGUCAUGCAAUUAGAUACUGGGAUUUCUCUUGUUCUUUUCCUCCAAUUAAAACUUUAAAACAUUGAUCUAAACUCAACUGAAUGCUUUUUGUCCUAAGAUUAUAAAUUUUCUUAAAUAUAUAUUUAUUGAGUGUGAUAUCCAUUGUUCAUAAAGUGCUUCUUGAAUAAGAAUGAGUGAUGUGUUCCUUUUUGUAAAUUAUGAACUUAUAUUUCAAUUCUGAUGGCAUAGCAAGGGACUCGGUAUAUCAUCUCAUGUUCGUUUGUGUGAGUGGUUUGAUGUAUGGGUUGGCUAGGGACACCGAGUUUCAUUUGAACCUCUUAGUCGAAAGAUUAUAUUAAAUACUAGAUUAAAAUUACUUUAUAUAUAUAUAUAUAUAUAUAUAUAUAUAUAUUAUUUUAAUUUAAUAAAAAUAAACAAUCACACACAAAAACUACAAAUAACUAUCCAGNNNNNNNNNNNNNNNNNNNNNNNNNNNNNNNNNNNNNNNNNNNNNNNNNNNNNNNNNNNNNNNNNNNNNNNNNNNNNNNNNNNNNNNNNNNNNNNNNNNNNNNNNNNNNNNNNNNNNNNNNNNNNNNNNNNNNNNNNNNNNNNNNNNNNNNNNNNNNNNNNNNNNNNNNNNNNNNNNNNNNNNNNNNNNNNNNNNNNNNNNNNNNNNNNNNNNNNNNNNNNNNNNNNNNNNNNNNNNNNNNNNNNNNNNNNNNNNNNNNNNNNNNNNNNNNNNNNNNNNNNNNNNNNNNNNNNNNNNNNNNNNNNNNNNNNNNNNNNNNNNNNNNNNNNNNNNNNNNNNNNNNNNNNNNNNNNNNNNNNNNNNNNNNNNNNNNNNNNNNNNNNNNNNNNNNNNNNNNNNNNNNNNNNNNNNNNNNNNNNNNNNNNNNNNNNNNNNNNNNNNNNNNNNNNNNNNNNNNNNNNNNNNNNNNNNNNNNNNNNNNNNNNNNNNNNNNNNNNNNNNNNNNNNNNNNNNNNNNNNNNNNNNNNNNNNNNNNNNNNNNNNNNNNNNNNNNNNNACGUUGAAUCUUCUUGGCUUAUUAAUUGUCUGUUUACUUCUAUAUAUUUUAAAUUUUCUUCGUGAUAGCCCUAGGUCCAUGUUACGACCCGACAAGUACUCUCAUGACUUACCGCUCUAUUUUCUCCAAUUUUGCUUCUUAUUACUUUACCUAUCAGUUCUAUGUAUGAUCGGGUUGAUUGGCUUGGGUUUAGAAAGUAUUUGGUAAGGUUUGAGACACUUAACCUCUUUUGAGGAAGCUUAGGUUGGAAAGCCAACCGGAAGUUGACUCGUGUUUUAGAGGACUCGGAAUGUAAAUUCCGAUGGUACAGUUAGAUUCGGAAGGUGAUUUCUAACUUAGGAGCGUGAUCAUAAUGAGUUUUGGAGGUUUGGAGUAGAUUUAAACUUGAAUUGGCGAAGUUGAUAUUUUGGCGAUUUCGAGUUGAUAGUCGAGAUUUUGAUAUAGGAGCCGGAAUGGAGUUUUGAGGGUUGCAGUAGUUCCGUUGUGUCAUUUGGGAUGUGUGUACAAAAUUUCAGGUCAUUUGGACAUGAUGUAGUUGGAUUUUUGAUCAAUGCGGAAUUCGGAAGAUUUUGGAAACUUAGGCUUGAAUCCGAUAUAUGUUGGUUGAUUUGAUGUUAUUUGAGGUGUUUUGAAGAUUGGUACAAGUUUGAAAAGGUUAUGGGAUAUGUUUGUGCUUUUGGUUGAGGUCCCGCGGGCCUCGAGGUGAUUUCGGAUUGUUGACGAGGAGUUUGAGACUUUGUGAAGUUGCAGAUUUUUGCUGCUUUUGGUAUUUUUGCACCUGUGAAUUGGGGACCGCAUGUGCGACGCCGAUAUGCGGGAAAAGGGUCGUAGAAGCGAAAGAUGAAUAGUAGGCAGGAAACCUUAGAAGCAGUUAGAAGGACCGCAUCUGCAAUAUCGCAGAUGCGGAUAAGAGGAAGUAAGUGAAAACCCGCAGAAGCGGUUAGUUGACUGCAAAUGCAGUACCGAAAAAGUGGAAUAUUGGCCGCAGAUGCGAAAAUACCUGGCGAGAAAGUAUAAAUUGUGUCCUUCGUGAUUUUGAAGCUAUUUCACCAUUUUGACUCGGCUUUGGAGCUUUUUGGAAAAUUUUGUAGAGGGAUUUCAGGGGAACUUCACUGAGGUAAGGAAUUCGGAUCUAAAACUCAUUCAUAUACUAUUAUUUCACGGAUUAGAGCUAUAAUUAAUGGAAUUUAGGAUUUAAAAUUGGGGAAACUAGGUCUUGGUAUUGGAGAUCUAGACUUGUGGAUUUGAAGGACCAUUUGAGGCCGGAUUUCAGAACUUUUGAUAGGUAUGAACUCGUGGGGAGACAAGGAACCCGUUGAUGUAAAUUUUAUCAAAAUUCGAGAUGUGGUCCUGCGGGUCGGGUUUUGGUAAUUUUUGAAUUUGUGUCGUAUAUUGAUUAUUUUCUAUUGGGCUUCGUUUCUUAGCAUAUUUUGAUGCCGUGACUAUAAUUUUGAAGAUUCGACGCGAGUGGAGGCUGAUUCGAGGGGCAAAGAUGUCGCGAGCUAGAGAUUUGACCGGUUUGAGGUGAGUAAUGAUUGUAAAUGAUAUUCUGAAGGUAUGAAACCCUGCACUUGCACAUCAUUGUGCUAUAUUGAGGUGACACACACACUUGAUGACGAGCGUAGGGUCGUGCGCUGUUGGGGAUUGUGACUUAGUCCGUCCCGAAUGUCUAUUUCAUCGCGUAUUUGACUAAAAUCUAUUUGCUAUAAUCAUUUAUUUGGGCAGAAUGUCAUAUUUGGGCCUCGUUCCAACUAUUUGAACCCUAAGGAUUUUAUUGAUAUUUCCUCACUGUUUUGGCUUAAUACUUAAACUCUGUCAUGAUAUAUUUCACUGUUUUCAUACUCAGUCGUGUUUACUAUGUUUUACCACUUAUAUGAUCUUUUAAGUGAUUAUUGGGCUGAGAAGUCUUGUUUUACUACUUUCGAGUGGCUUGUAAGAAUUUUUUACUGAGUAAGGUCGAGGGCCUAUGUUGUAAGGGAACACUGAUCAUGAUUUGAGGCCAAGGGCCUGAGAUAAGUAUGCAACAAAGUGUCUUGAUUGAUAUGAGGCCGAAGGCCUAGUGAUGAUGCAACGAGAAGGCUUGAUAUUGUGCUUGGGUCGUAAGGGGACCCUCUAGGAGUCUGCACACCCCCAAUGAGUGCGGGUACCCAUGUGAUGUGAGAUGUAGCCCGAGGGGCUAGUAUUGUUCUGAGAUAUUGUCCGAGAGAUGGAUUUGUUGAUAUUGUGCUUGAGGGACAAACCUUUAUGUGUUUAUCUUUAUUAAUUGUCUGUCAUCAUCUAUUUAAUUCGUGGAAAGGCUUUUUAUGAAGUUUAAGUUGAAUAAAAUGACUUCUUCUCAAAAUGAGUUAUUUUUUUUACUUGUUUCACUGCUUCAUUAUAGCCGGUAAUGUGCAUCACAUGUUUUCCUACUUUUGGUCAUUAUUUAUGAUUAUUACUCACUGAGUUGGAGUACUCACUUUACUCCUUUCACCCCGUGUGCAGAUUCAAGCAUAUCUAGUCCCGCACACGAGUGUUGAUCCAUUCCAGCUUAGGCGGAUCCGAGGAGUCUCUAGGCAGUUGUUGGCGUUCGCAGCC